rnacentral:rRNA from 1 species
GUGUCAGCAGCCGCGGUAAUACAGAGGGUGCGAGCGUUGUCCGGAAUCACUGGGCGUAAAGGGCGCGUAGGCGGCUUCUUAAGCGCGCGGUGAAAGCGCGGGGCUCAACCCCGCGUCGGCCGUGCGGACUGGGAGGCUGGAGCACGUCAGAGGCAGGCGGAAUUCCGGGUGUAGCGGUGGAAUGCGUAGAGAUCCGGAAGAACACCGGUGGCGAAGGCGGCCUGCUGGGACGUGGCUGACGCUGAGGCGCGACAGCGUGGGGAGCAAACAGGAUUAGAUACCCUGGUAGUCC